CCCUUAGACGUUCUGGGCCGCACGCGCGCUACACUGACGAAGGCAACGAGCUUUCCUUUACCGAAAGGUACGGAUAAUCUUUUGAAACUUCGUCGUGCUGGGGAUAGAUCCUUGCAAUUUUUGAUCUUAAACGAGGAAUUCCUAGUAAGCGCAAGUCAUCAACUUGCGUUGAUUACGUCCCUGCCCUUUGUACACACCGCCCGUCGCUACUACCGAUUGAAUGGUUUAGUGAGGCCUUCGGAUCCGCGACUCGUUUUGUGGAGAAGUUGGACAAACUCAGUCAUUUAGAGGAAGUAAAAGUCGUAACA
rnacentral:rRNA from 1 species